AUCAACUUCUCACACCAUAAAUACAUAUUUUGUAACACCCGUCCCAGGAUAUUUAGGGUUUCGAUUUAAUUUUGAGAUUCAGGGCUUAAUUCGUAUUCAUUGAAUUCUAUAAGGGGCCUUGGUGUGAUUUGUAUGGAGAUUGUUAUUGGUUUGGAGUAUAAAGUUGAGAGGGGAGGUGACCACGUGGGAUUUCUUCCUAAGUGACUAAAUAGCCAUCAGGAGGAUAUUUCCUCAUUCUCCCCAAUUCUGUCGACAUAGCAAGAGAGAGAGAGAGAGAGAGAAGAGAGAGAGAGAGAGAGAACGGGGGAGGAAGAGGCCACGGCUAAGGGGGAGGGAGGAAGGAGAGGUCCGUUUUUGGUGAUCCAACUCGGUAACGGGUAAUGAGCUGGUCUUUUAGGAGGUGCCAGGACCGUAAGUUUGGCAUACUCUAGUCGAAUCAAAGGUGAGUGUGUCUGAUAUGGUACUUCUCAAUAAGAUAUUGCUGUGGUGGUAAGUGUAUAUCCUACUAAUGGUAUUUUAGCUUUCGAUAUGAUUAUCGUUAUAUAGAUAAUGCGGUGGAGGUGAUUGUAUAUCAACGAUAUCAUACUAACCGAGGUUUAGCUAUUUGUGGGGGCUCCGUUCCGGUUGGUUCGUACUUUCUGAAUGUGGGUUCUUGGUUAGCUCCUGUUUCCUUGAUCAGUCCUGCAAAACGAAGCACGACUAAGAGACCACACCGGAGGUACUCCGGAAUGGCCCUCCGGUGCAAGAGUCAAAUUGCUUGCGAGAAGGAGUUAGGGAUUAGGAGCUAGGGUUUUGUUUGAGCAUUUCUCUUCCAAGUAGGCAUAAUGGGAUAUUUGUAGGGAACCCUUAGCUUGGUCUCCAAGAUUGCACCAACGCUCAACACGCGUCGGCUGAUGUCACUGUUGCAUCACGUUUAGGGUUUUACAACCGUUUUCAUGAUGAGCUGGCACCUUCACGUGCCACCAUCAUUGUCCUCAUAACCGUUUGGAUGACGUCACGACCAUCAUCAUUGCCAUGGUUACUGUUCUGAUGCGGAUGAGCUGGAUCGUCGGCCAGGCUACGCUCGGCACCGAGCGUGUUAUGGGACCUUCGGCAGCUAUCCAAACGAACGUAUCCUUCACACCGAGCGGGUGCAGGGAAUGGAGAAUCAAAGGAAGUGGUAAUUAGAGGGACCCUCGGUUGCAGGGACCCUCGGCUAUGGUUGCUGAUCCGAACGUCCAAAGAAAGAUGUCUUGGAGUUGGAAGGAAUACUGGGUCACGCUCGGAAUGGCCCGAGCCAUUUUGCUCGGCCUGCUACACUAUUAAUAUGGAUAUAUGUUAUGGAGAUUGUAUAUCAUGCUAUAUGUUGUUUUGGCUUACAGUAUGCGUGCUUGUUGUAUGUUGAUUGUAUCCGCGGAAGGAUUGUGGAGUGAGUCACGCCAUGUCAUAUGCCAUUCCGUCUAAUUAACGGAGAUUGGGAGCAUGGUUUGCGGGACACAAUGCCUUGGGUACAUGGGAAUAUGGUAGACGUGUCACUGCAUGCUUGUGUGAUUUAUAUUCAUGUUGUUGAUUCAGUUAUUGUUGUGUGGUUGUUUAUUGGAUAAUACUGCUGUGUUUAGAGGAUGUGGUGAUUAUUACUAUUAUACUCAUAUGGUUAUUUCAGUUAUGUUGGUGGUGUAUUCUCGUUGAUAUUCUUUUGGGUAUUGUGAUAUUUUAUUGAGCAUUUCUAUAUCUCACACACUCUGGCUUUUCUUUUUGUACUGCCAGGUAGCAUGUGGCUUAGUGUGGGUUCCCUACUGGUCAACGCUUUGGAGAGUGCUGAGACUAGCGCUGGGUGAUGUCUUUGGUUAGAUUGUUGUGUAGCUGAUUCAUCUAGAAGUUAACCUAAAUGUUUUGUAAUUAAUUGAAGAGAGAGAUAUUUAUUAUAACUUGUGAGUUGAGGUUUUGGCGUUGACUUGGUGGUGUUUUUUGUGAGAAGUCUUCCGCUAAGUUGUAUUC